rnacentral:rRNA from 1 species
GAUGAACGCUGGCGGCGUGCCUAAUACAUGCAAGUAGAACGCUGAAGGAGGAGCUUGCUCUUCUGGAUGAGUUGCGAACGGGUGAGUAACGCGUAGGUAACCUGCCUGGUAGCGGGGGAUAACUAUUGGAAACGAUAGCUAAUACCGCAUGACAACAGUUAUUGCAUGAUAACUGUUUAAAAGGGGCAACUGCUCCACUACCAGAUGGACCUGCGUUGUAUUAGCUAGUUGGUGAGGUAACGGCUCACCAAGGCGACGAUACAUAGCCGACCUGAGAGGGUGAGCGGCCACACUGGGACUGAGACACGGCCCAGACUCCUACGGGAGGGGGCAGGAGGGAAACUUCGGCAAUGGGCGGAAGUCUGACCGAGCAACGCCGCGUGAGUGAAGAAGGUUUUCGGAUCGUAAAGCUCUGUUGUAAGAGAAGAACGAGUGUGAGAGUGGAAAGUUCACACUGUGACGGUAUCUUACCAGAAAGGGACGGCUAACUACGUG